UACGUAGGGUGCAAGCGUUAAUCGGAAUUACUGGGCGUAAAGCGUACGCAGGCGGCUGUGUAAGACAGGUGUGAAAUCCCCGGGCCUAACCUGGGAACUGCAUUUGUGACUGCAUAGCUAGAGUCUGUCAGAGGGGGGUGGAAUUCCACGUGUAGCAGUGAAAUGCGUAGAGAUGUGGAGGAACACCGAUGGCGAAGGCAGCCCCCCUGGGAUAAGACUGACGCUCAUGUACGAAAGCGUGGGGAGCAAACAGG
rnacentral:rRNA from 1 species